rnacentral:rRNA from 1 species
AACGAACGCUGGCGGCGUGCCUCAUACAUGCAAGUCGUGCGAGAAAGCCCGCUUCGGUGGGUGAGUAAAGCGGCGAACGGGUGCGUAACACGUGAGCAAUCUACCCCGAGGUGGGGGAUAAGCCUCCGAAAGGGGGUCUAAUACCGCAUAACAUCUUCCGGGCGCAUUUUCGGGAGAUCAAAGAUGGCCUCUAUUUAUAAGCUAUCACCAUGGGAUGAGCUCGCGCUCCAUUAGCCUGUUGGUAGGGUAACGGCCUACCAAAGCUACGAUGGAUAGCCGGCCUGAGAGGGUGACCGGCCACACUGGGACUGAGAUACGGCCCAGACUCCUACGGGUGGCAG